AUUGAACGCUGGCGGCAUGCUUUACACACGCAAGUCGAACGGCAGCGCGGGGCAACCUGGCGGCGAGUGGCGAACUGGUGAGUAAUAUAUCGGAACGUACCCAAGAGUGGGGGAUAACGUAGCGAAAGUUACGCUAAUACCGCAUACGAUUCAAGGAUGAAAGCAGGGGACCGCAAGGCCUUGUGCUCCUGGAGCGGCCGAUAUCUGAUUAGCUAGUUGGUGAGGUAAAGGCUCACCAAGGCGACGAUCAGUAGCUGGUCUGAGAGGACGACCAGCCACACUGGAACUGAGACACGGUCCAGACUCCUACGGGAGGCAGCAGUGGGGAAUUUUGGACAAUGGGCGCAAGCCUGAUCCAGCAAUGCCGCGUGAGUGAAGAAGGCCUUCGGGUUGUAAAGCUCUUUUGUCAGGGAAGAAACGGCGCCGGCUAAUAUCCGGCGCUAAUGACGGUACCUGAAGAAUAAGCACCGGCUAACUACGUGCCAGCCGCCGCAGUAAAAC
rnacentral:rRNA from 1 species